UUAGCAUAUUUAUGUGUUAAAUUUAGAAUUUAAAGAAGGCACUAGUCAGCUUAUGAUGAC
rnacentral:tRNA from 1 species